AAUAAUGUGUGAAAGUACACGAGCGGCGGACGGCUGAGUAACGCGUAGGAACGUACCCCAAAGUGAGGGAUAAGCACCGGAAACGGUGUCUAAUACCGCAUGUGAUCUAAGGAUUAAAGCCUUCGGGCGCUUUGGGAGCGGCCUGCGUAUGAUUAGUUUGUUGGUGAGGUAAUGGCUCACCAAGACUACGAUCAUUAGCUGGUCUGAGAGGAUGAUCAGCCAGACUGGGACUGAGACACGGCCCAGACUCC
rnacentral:rRNA from 1 species